rnacentral:misc_RNA from 1 species
UUUCCGUAGGUGAACCUGCGGAAGGAUCAUUACCACGCGAUCCAAAACGCUCACUCACGUGUAACAACGUAACCCAUGGUGCCAGUCACUUUGAAAGACUUGACUGGGACGACCUGCCAGUGGUUUAGCGACAGUCUUUUGUGACUGUUGUGGCGGCCGUCUGAAAUACACCAGCAACCUGAGCCACACUUUUACUAAUCAUUUUCAAACCCAGGACAACAUUGUACCUCGGCAAGAAACUGACGCUGGUAGCUUCGGCUGCCUGUCAAGCUUAUUCAAUGCUUACAACUUUUAGCAACGGAUAUCUUGGCUCUU